rnacentral:misc_RNA from 1 species
UUUCCGUAGGUGAACCUGCGGAAGGAUCAUUGUCGAAACCUGCCCAGCAGAACGACCCGCGAACUUGUAUAAACAGCCGGGGGCGGGGGGCGUUCUCGCCCCGUGCCCCCGAACGGCGGGGAGACACUCGUGCCUUCUUGCCGAACAACGAACCCCCGGCGCGGUCUGCGCCAAGGAACUUCAACUAAAGAGUGCCUCCGGUCGCCUCGGAAACGGCGUGCGUGCCGGGGGCGAAUCUUGUGCAAAACCAUAACGACUCUCGGCAACGGAUAUCUCGGCUCUC